AUUGCUUUACGAUGGCGAACAAAAAAUGAAGUGAUUGUGGGGAAAGGUCAGUUUAUCUGCGGAUGCGUGACAUGUAAAGAAACUGAUGGUUUGCAAAGUUGGGAAGUUAAUUUCCGUUACGAAGAAUAUAACGAAAUAAAAAAUGCUUUAGUUAAAAUAAGACUUUGUUCGUCCUGCUCUUUUAAAUUAAAUUAUAAACACCAAAAGAAAAAAGCUAAGCAAAAUCUUAAACAAACAAGUUCUAGUAAAAGAAUAAAAACUGAAGUGUUUGAAGAAAUUCCAACCAGCGAGAAAUUAAGUGAACUUCCCAGUAGCGACGCUCAAACGCUAAACGAAAAGGAACACACAAAAAAUGAGGAAGCAGAAA